ensembl:lncRNA
UGGGGGGAAGGGGGCUAGCGAUGGGAAGGAGUGGACGAAAGUCACCGGACAUCAUUCGUGCGUUCAACCUUUUCCGUGUAAAUAUUAAACUGAAGUCCUAUCACUUUGUACAGUAAACAGACAGACAGGAUGUAACUUUCAAUAUGUUUUACAGCAAUUUUAAGAAAUAAACAAACAAAAAAUCAAUAAUAAAAAAGUCAAAAAACAAGGAAAAAUCCAUAAAGAAAAAUAUGCAAACUAUAGUUGAGACACAAAUAAUCAUAAGUGAUAUUCUGAAGCUUUUCUCAUGUUUACUUAACCAUAAUAGUUUACCAAUUAAUAUAUUGAUUACGUUAAGACUUAUUGCUUUUGCUUCUUUUCAUGGAGGAGUUGGGCGGAGGCCCAUUUAAGUGUAGGUGUAGUUUGGUGCUUAAGGGGGAGAGCUUAGAUUUAGUGCUCUAAGUUUUCCUUAAAUUGUGUUAGAUUCUCUUUUUUAAGGUAAGCUAUACUUUGCGCUUUUCAGGAUAAAGGAACCGAGAGCUUCAUGUUACACUCUUGAGACACAUAGAUGGCUUAUAGAGGCAGUGUUCUGUGGUCCUUUAUUUUUAAGCUGCAGUCCUUGUGGUUCAAUUAUCUAGCUGAUGUUUUCGAUUUGAUUUGUCGUCGCCCUCUCUCAGACCCGGGGCUCUCCCGGGCUCCAUUGGAGCCGGGACCCCACCGGGCUCUCUCGGACCCAAGCUCCACGUCUCUCAGACGUGGGUCUCUCCACUGGCGAUCGCACACUAACUUGAGAGCCAUCGAGGCCGCCGGCCAAUCCCGUUACCUGUCUCUGUUUGGACAGCACAUCACUGUGGCAAUAGGAACGCACACACACGCACGUGCACACACACGCACGCACGCACACACACACACACACACACACACACACACACACACACACACACACACACACACACACACACACACACACACACACACACACACACACACACACACACACACACACGUCUAUUAGAGAUGGUGGGACAGCGAUACUCCGAAGCCAUAUUCCACACCGACGUCGAACAAGGGUCUGUGCACCACUGUGUGUUCGCCAAAUGUCUAAGAACAAGGCUUGUGGCACUUAUCAUCAGAACCUGUCCAACUGUUUGGGUGAGUCAGUAGUACUAGUACUACGUUAAGUGGUAGUAGUCCUGCUACUCUGAAUCUCUAUUGUUAACCAGUACCGACGGCUGCAUCUCUAAAACACAAAACAGCAGAAUAAUACAUUCACGGUUUGGGCCUGGUUUAGUGUUUUUGGACGAUUCUAUUGGAGGUUGGGCAACCCCGUAUCACCCUGCUGGCCAAUCAGCACGCUCUUUGUUUGCAUACGGCUACAGUGUGUUCACUUAUUUAAAUAAUGAUUCAAGUUAUUCAUAUGAUGCUACUCCGAGCUGGGCUCAUCUCCUAGUGUUUGGUGUGCGGCUAACCACGGUAACCAUGGCCAUAGCAGCCAUAACCAACCUAACCCCAUAACCAUGGUCACGAUUGCCAUAGUAACCCUAACCAAGGGGAAGAUAACCACAUUGACCAUACUAAACUGUAUUGACUAAGCGGCCCACAUGGUGUUUAGGUAUUUUGUGUACAGAUUCCAUUUGAUUCCCGGGGAGUUAGGAAGAAUCAACCUGCGUUCUUGUUUUGUAAUUUUAUCGUUCUCCAAAAUCUCCAGCAGCCGGUCAGGAAUGAACUCCUGUUUCUUAGUUUUCUCCCAAAACCGCUCCAGCGUCUGAGUGUCGCUGGAAGAGUGACAAGAGCGUGGGGUGUGCGUCAAACUCUCUUGUUUUUGCGUAUAUUCCACAGAAGCCUUUGCUAGCCAUUUUGAUUCUCCUUUAUUUGCAAUAAAACCAAAUCACCCCAGGGAUACGCUUCACACGGAUUUGUUUGGGAAUGAAAUCACUGUUUGGUCCGGUUUGGAGCCACUGCCCGGGAAGUCACCCUUGAUACUGUGCUCGCUCCCUCUGCAGCCUCUGCUCUGUGCAGCGCACGUCACAAUCUAAAUGAGAAGCUAAACACUGUGUCACAUUUUUACAAUGCAAACCAUGCGGUUGAGGGAGUCGCUAGGUGGUGACGGGUGUCAAGUGUCCCCACCUCGCCUGCUCGAGGGAUCAAUACACACGAUUAGUCCGCUUUAAAUGCACUUUCUGAUGUUGUAUUUAUCAUGUGGGACAAAUAUGUGUUUUAUUCAGUUUCAUAUUGACCACAUUUAACUGAUUUAGGGCAGGAGAGAACUGAUCUUGGUGGAAACCGUCUAAAAUAUGUUCCUUUUUUUAAAUCUUUGCUCACUUAUUGCAACAGCUGUUUAACUUUGUGUGUGUGUGUGUGUGUGUGUGUGUGUGUGUGUGUCAUGGGCGAAUGUGUGAGUGUGUGUUAAGCAUGGAUGUGUGUGUUUCUGACAGAUGCAUAUGGUCCAUGUUAUUGUUUCUAAGCUGAUGUCCUGCUCUCUGUCUGCUGUGGUGAUGGGGUGUGGGGGAUACUGAGGAGAUGAACCUGUUGUCAUCACAGCCCUGGUUGAAUUUACUGUGGCGCAAACACAAUGUAAGAUAUGAAUAUUACUAAUUGUAUACAUAAUAAUAUACAUAAUAUUCUUGGCCAUCCUUUUCUCUUUUUGUGGCCCUUUGCUUUAAGAUGUUUGGGAAUUUUUACACAAACGGACAACGACACAAAAUCUAUGAAAUGUACAGGUUGUGUAAAUAAGCGACAAACAUUUAUCUUCUUUUUUAAGGAAAUUAUCAAAAUAAUCCCAGUAACAAAAUUAACCACGUUAUGGCAAAACAAGGUACUUCUACUAAGGAUAAUAAGUAAGUUCUCAAAUAAGACUCUUUCUCUUUGUACGUGAUGAACCAAUUCAAGUGUUGAGUAUUAAUAAAAAAAAUGAUACAUUUCACAAAUUCUUCUUGGGUCAUGUGUGUGUGUUUGUGUGUUUGUAUGUGAGAAAGAGUGUAUGAGAGUGAGUAUGAGUGUGUGAUAAUUUGUGUGUGUGUGUGUGUGACAAAGAGUGUGUGUGAGAGUGUUUGUGUGUGUGAGAAAGUGUGAGAGUGAGUAUGUGUGUAUGAGUGUGUGACAAAGAGGG